ensembl:snoRNA Snord57 small nucleolar RNA SNORD57
UGGAAAGGAUGAACGAACUUGGCCUGACCUUCAGAAAUGGAGGCAAUAUAACUGAUUUAAUGAGCCUGAUCC